UACACUCCUACGGGAGGCAGCAGUGGGGAAUAUUGCACAAUGGGCGCAAGCCUGAUGCAGCCAUGCCGCGUGUAUGAAGAAGGCCUUCGGGUUGUAAAGUACUUUCAGCGGGGAGGAAGGCGAUAAGGUUAAUAACCUUGUCGAUUGACGUUACCCGCAGAAGAAGCACCGACUAACUCCGUGCCAGCAGCCGCGGUAAUACGGAGGGUGCAAGCGUUAAUCGGAAUUACUGGGCGUAAAGCGCACGCAGGCGGUCUGUCAAGUCGGAUGUGAAAUCCCCGGGCUCGACCUGGGAACUGCAUUCGAAACUGGCAGGCUAGAGUCUUGUAGAGGGGGGUAGAAUUCCAGGUGUAGCGGUGAAAUGCGUAGAGAUCUGGAGGAAUACCGGUGGCGAAGGCGGCCCCCUGGACAAAGACUGACGCUCAGGUGCGAAAGCGUGGGGAGCAAACAGGAUUAGAAACCCUGGUAGUCCCAUG
rnacentral:rRNA from 1 species